CCCCAUUGGCAGACAAAGUUCUAUCUCCUUCUUGCAUGAGAUUUCACUGCAAAAUCCAGUCCUUGUAUUUCCUUCAAUAUCUCUCUCUCUUCCACAUAAGUAACUAUUUCGUCUAUAAAAAAUGGGGAUAUUAAUUCACCUACUUCCCCAGACCCUUAUGAGGAUAAAAUGAGAUAAUAUUUGCAAAGCACUUUGUAAACCUUAAAACACUAUAUGUGUUAGAUAUUAUUCUUAUUUACUACCACCAAUAAUCCAUAAAAGGACCAAUCCACCCACCAGAAAUAAUAUCCUCAAUAACUUUAUGAUAUAGAUAUAAGUAUUUCUAUAUAUUUUUUGAAACAGUAUGCCAGCAAGGACUGACCUUAAUUAUGAAGAUCUAGGUUCAAGUCUAAAACUUGGCUUCCUGGCAUUUAAAUAAGCUGCUUAAAGUUUUUGUCAUUCAUGCAAUUCUUAAAGAACAAGAAAUCUAGAAGAAUUUCUUCUCUGCAGUUAGGAGUUCCUAACUAAGACUUUCUUAUCAGGCAUGUAGGAGAUACAGUAGAUAAAGAAUGUCAGCCCUGAUGUUAGGAAGACUCAUCUACAUGAAUUCAAAUCAAAUAAGUAUAGAAACUUAUAAGCUGUGUGACCCUGGGAGGAAGGAAAUGUUUCUUGAAGGAAGAAAAAUACAUCAAGGAAGAAAAUUUAAAAAAGAAAAGGCCCAAAGAAGGAGAAAGGAACCUACAUUUAUGUUAGAAGGCUAAUAUAGAACACAGUGGAAAGGAAUAUUGGAUUGAUGUCAGAAGACAUGGAUUCAAAACCUGGACCUGCUACUUGCAACAUGCUUGAUAGAUUAGAUGAUUAACUUAAUUUCUCUGACCUCAGUUUCUUCAUCUUUAAAAUGAAAGCAUUAGCCUUAGAUAUCCUCAAAAUCCCUCCCAGCUCUCAAUCUAUAAAACUAUACUGAAGGGUAGAAGAAUUUGGUACAAAAAAAAGAAGGUUCAUUGAGUCUUUGAGAUUGUAAUAAGUUUGAGUCUCUUCCCACAGAAAAUGGAGCUGGACCUUCAGAAGAGGCAACAGUUUUGCAACUGUAUGGGAUAAGGCUAAAGAUAUCAAAAGCGCUAUAGGGGGAGGUGGGGAAAUGUGGGGACAGGUAGGUAACUCAGUGGAUUGAGAGUCAGACCUAGAGAUGGUUCAAAUCUGGCAUCAGACAUUUCCUAGCUCUGUGACCCUGGGCAAGUCACCAUUGACCCCCAUAACCUCUUCUGCCUUGGAACCAAUA
rnacentral:lncRNA from 1 species